GAUGAACGCUGGCGGCGUGCCUAACACAUGCCAGUCGAGCGAACAGACGAGGAGCUUGCUCCUUUGACGUUAGCGGCGGACGGGUGAGUAACACGUAGGUAACCUACCUAUAAGACUGGGAUAACUUCGGGAAACCGGAGCUAAUACCGGAUAAUAUUUCGAACCGCAUGCUUCGAUAGUGAAAGAUGGCUUUGCUAUCACUUAUAGAUGGACCUGCGCCGUAUUAGCUAGUUGGUAAGGUAACGGCUUACCAAGGCAACGAUACGUAGCCGACCUGAGAGGGUGAUCGGCCACACUGGAACUGAGACACGGUCCAGACACCUGCGGGAGGCAGCAGUAGGGAAUCUUCCGCAAUGGGCGAAAGCCUGACGGAGCAACGCCGCGUGAGUGAUGACGGUCUUCGGAUCGGAAAACUCUGUUAUUAGGGAAGAACAAACGUGUAAGUAACUGUGCAGAUCUUGACGGUACCGAAUCAGAAAGCCACGGCUAACUACGUG
rnacentral:rRNA from 1 species